AUGCAGAGACUGGACAGUCUCACACAGGUAGAGCAAGCUGUAGAAAGUAGACUUGGCUGGUAUUUAAGUCUGAAAAUGACCUGGCCUGUUGCAAGUCAAUGGAAUGAGGAAAUGGAAGUAAAGCAAGACCAAACAGCCAAGGUUGCCUGACAAUGACAUUAAGGCAGCUGGAGAGCUCAAGGACAAAGAAGAAGCCCUGGGCCGCUUAUCAAGGUUAGUCUCUUGAUAAGAGUGGGAGCCUCUCUCAAGAAACUGGCAGAAACUGGUCCUGCGGAUGGACAAGAGCCAAGGAGCAACUGAGUCUUUGCAAGGACAGGAGGUCAACUAGCAGUGACGAGGAAGAGUCACCAACCUUCAUCCCCACAACCCCCGGCGAGCACCACCAGGAGACACUGCGCAAGCGCAGAUGGGAGGAGCUUAUGGAAAUGCCUUCUUGAACUUAUUUUAAUAUGAAGCGGGGACAGGUUAUGCAUAUAUAUAGGUGCAUUGUCAAACUUCAUGCAUAUGCAACUCUUUACUGCAUAUAACCAUGGCAAGUUGCCACGUCACGUGCGCAUGACUUUGGUGGGACUACCUCUCGUGCUGCCCAACACUAAAUAAACAUACCUACUUUACAAUCUUACUGAUUGUG
rnacentral:lncRNA from 1 species